rnacentral:lncRNA from 1 species
UGUAAUGCUUUCACUUGCUGACAAGCUAAGCAUCGCUCUACAAACGAAGCUAUGUCUUGUUUCAUUCCGUCCCACAAAAAUCUCUUUUUCAAAUCCCGAUACAUCUUUGUGCCUCCUGAGUGGGCGGUGUAAGGCGUGUCGUGAGUCUCACUCAUGAUCUUAUUCUUAAGUUCAUCAUCGCGGGAAUGCCUAUUCUCCCCUCAAAUAAGAUAGCAUUGUCUGAUGUUAUUUUUUUUUUUUUUUUUUUAACUUCUUGAGAUCUCCUGCUCUUAUCCUUUCUCGUAACUUGUUCAUUGUCUCAUCUUUCCUUGUGCUUCAAUCACCAUUUUCCUCAAACUAUGCAUCGUCGCAACAAUACUCGCUAUCGUCCCUGGUGGUUUUAUCAUCUCUAUCCUCAUCUUGUCAAAGUCAUUUAUAAGCUCAUCCUCUCUCAUGAGAAGACAUCCUAACUUUGACGAGACCUUUCGGCUCAAUGCAUC